rnacentral:tRNA from 1 species
GCAUUGGUGGUUCAGUGGUAGAAUUAUUGCCUUCCACGUGGGAGACCCAGGUUCAAUUCCCAGCCUAUGUA